rnacentral:rRNA from 1 species
UACGGAGGGUGCGAGCGUUGUCCGGAAUCAUUGGGCGUAAAGGGCGCGUAGGUGGCUGGGCAAGCGUGCGGUGAAAGCUCGGGGCUCAACCCCGAGUCGGCCGUGCGAACUGCCGAGCUUGAGCACUGUAGAGGCAGGCGGAAUUCCGGGUGUAGCGGUGGAAUGCGUAGAGAUCCGGAAGAACACCGGUGGCGAAGGCGGCCUGCUGGGCAGUGGCUGACACUGAGGCGCGACAGCGUGGGGAGCGAACAGG